CAGCGCCUAACACAUGCAAGUCGAACGCCCCGCAAGGGGAGUGGCAGACGGUGUGAGUAACACGUGGGAACGUACCCUUUGGUUCGGAACAACCCUGGGAAACUAGGGCUAAUACCGGAUACGCGCGAGAGCGGAAAGGUUUACCGCCGAAGGAUCGGCCCGCGUCUGAUUAGCUAGUUGGUGAGGUAACGGCUCACCAAGGCGACGAUCACUAGCUGGUCUGAGAGGAUGAUCAGCCACAUUGGGACUGAGACACGGCCCAAACUCCUACGGGAGGCAACAGUGGGGAAUAUUGGACAAUGGGCGCAAUCCUGAUCCAGCCAUGCCGCGUGAGUGAUGACGGCCCUAGGGUUGUAAAGCUCUUUUACCUGCGAAGAUAAUGACGGUACCACCAGAAUAAGCCCCGGCUACCUUCGUGCCAGCAGCCGCGGUAAU
rnacentral:rRNA from 1 species